rnacentral:rRNA from 1 species
CCUACGGGAGGCAGCAGUAGGGAAUCUUCCACAAUGGGCGAAAGCCUGAUGGAGCAACGCCGCGUGGGUGAAGAAGGUCUUCGGAUCGUAAAACCCUGUUGUUAGAGAAGCAAGUGCGUGAGAGUAAAUGUUCACGUUUCGACGGUAUCUAACCAGAAAGCCCCGGCUAACUACGUGCCAGCAGCCGCGGUCAUACGUAGGUGGCACGCGUUAUCCGGUUUUAUUGGGCGUAAAGGGAACGCAGGCGGUCUUUUAAGUCUGAUGUGAAAACCUUGGGCUUAACCGGAGUAGUGCAUUGGAAACUGGGAGACUGGAGUGCAGAAGAGGAGAGUGGAACUCGAUGUGUAGCGGUGAAAUGCGUAGAUAUAAGGAAGAACACCAGUGGCGAAGGCGGCUCUCGGGUCUGUAACUGACGCUGAGGUUCGAAAGCGUGGGUAGCAAACAGGAUUAGAUACCCGAGUAGUC